GGAGUGUGGUGGAAUGUUACGAUCGUGUGGUGUAUGUAUGAACUUAGACUCUCCAACUAGCGUUGGGGGUGAGAUUUUCCUAGUAUCACCGUUGUACAAUGAACUUAUACCAGACGACUAGACGAGAAGGAAAGUUACGAGACUGAGGAGAAAGAGGAAAGUAAAGACGAAGAUGAAGAGGGAGAAGAAGGCAGUUACGUUGCCGAUUUCCAUCCUCUGGAACUGAUUGGUCCUGCUUUUUGCCGGGUCAUGGAGAUGCUAAAAAGGAAGCUCAAACAAGCCAAUCUAUUGGAAAUUUGGGGAUUAAAGGAGAUCAAACCCAAGCCCCUUGUUCACCUCCACCUCCAUCCAAGAGAUUGAAGAUUGUGUCUCAAAUUAACCCUAGAGAAUCAAUUUCCCCAAAUCAAAGAACUCCACAAUAACGCCUCCUAACAAGAAUCAGCCUUGUCUUUGCCUCUCCUCUGUUAUGUACUAUGGUGGUCUUACCAAGGGAUGGUCUCACAGUCCUAUCUAUUGCACCCAUCUAACUGCUAGUCUCCUCACGCUCUGCCUCUGUUAAUUCAUUGUAAGAAUCAUAAAUCUUGUUGUUUCUACUUUAUCUUUAUAUUCAUUCCUUGGACCUUAAUGUUGAGUAUGUAAUUCAAGGAGUUAGGAUUAACGUUAUUUGUAAGUAAUCACUGCCUAGGUGCUGUUUUGACUCACUUUCGUCUCACAACUAGACUUUGCUGUUUGCACAUUGGAGAUUUCAGGGCUUCUAAUAGCAUGUUUGGAAGGAAAUUUUUGGAGGUAAGGAUGGGUUUCUAAAGUACCAUGCUUGUUUGAAGGUUUUUUUAAAGGAGGCAAGGCAAAACCUCCAAAAUCCUCACUUUUUCAACCCACUAAAUCGGUGGGUUGCGAGGUUUUUCUACCUUGCCUCCUUACCUUACCUUACUUUAUAAAAUCUUACCUCACUCUAUCCAAACGCACUGUAAAGUAUAUGCAGCCUUAUUCCCUUGUUGUAAACCACCAAGUCAAUUUACUUUACCAGGGUAAAACUUAUUGCAGCCCGGAGCACAAGUAUGAAACUUGUUCUAUCUCACCUUAUUUAAAGAGGCAGUCUCUAUUGAAUCCAGCAUUUCAGUUCUCUAAUUCAAUGUUAUGUUUUUUGAAAUAUGUUGUGGACAACAAUUUUAUGGUCUCAGGUACCCUUCCAAGGAAGAUGUGUCAUGUUGUUAGAGUUACUAAGGACUUCCUCAAGAGGCAACCCGAAGCCCUUUUUGUUGUUGGGGCAUAGGGCAUUGGAAAAGAAUUUGUUUCUCUUGCCAUUUCCAAGGCAUUAGGGGUAUGUUUGUUUGCUGUUUCACUGAAGUAUUUUACCUCAUGUAGCGAAUAAAGUUGUUUAUUCCUUGAGGUAGAUGUGGAGGCUUCUUUUUCCUCUCAAUAGACCACAUGUUAUGGCAUGAAUAUUGUACCAUUAUGAUAACUGAGAGAUCAUGAAUGAUUCAUCUACUUGUUCUCUUUCUUAUAAACUAAGAUCAUUUGGAUUUUCAGAUUUUAUAGGCCAAACUACAGAAGUUUAUAAAGAAAAUAGAAACAAAAAGGAAAAUUUGAUGGAAUUAGCAUAGCAACAAUUGUUUCUAUAUUGUGUAGGUUAAAAUUUAUGCAAAUGAUUCAAGGAGGCGGGUUCUGGAUUCUUUUUGUUGGUCUUAUCUUUCAAGUAGUCUCCUAGACAAGCAAAGGACACACUUCUCCAUGUGCUGCCGAUAUCUUCCCUAAGACUCUUCAGUUUCUCACUGCUACGAAUUUUAUCUUUUGUUGCAUCAAGCAGUCAUUGUCUUUCAUAUUUCCUUUAGACCUUCAAAGAUUAUUUGAAGAACUUCAUAAAUUAGUAUGCAGCAGUUUUGGUAUUUCACCCAACAGGUGAUUCAAAUAGAUCUUUUGUCCAUUUUUGCCUCUCUACUUCUUUUUUGUCAUUAUUGCUAGAAAAUUCAACAUUUUGAAACUUCUGUACUCUUUUAUCUUAAUUUCUCCGGGCUGCACUUACUCUGAGAGUGCAGGCAAAGAGCUUCAUCUAAUUAGACCAAUUUCUAAAGGCAAUGUCACCAUUUAUGGUGAGAUCAUGGAUUUUCAGUUGAGCAAACAUUAUUAUUGGAAUUUUAUGAGUUAACCUUGCUUCAGGUUGUUUGAGAGCUGUGAUAGAGUUAGGAGAAAAUUGAAAUGUAAAUUGAGAUUUUGAAAAUGAACAACUGAAGAUUUCUAUUGAACUGAAAAUGGCAGACAGCCCUUACAAUCAGGUUUUCUCAACUAAAGAGUGCAUCUUUCACAUAAAACCUUCCAAUACAGUGUUCACAUAACAAGAAAAAUUGAAGAAGACAAUAGAACAGGAUAACCGUGGCUAACAAUGGCUGCCAAGAGCCCCCAGGAAAGAAUUCCCGUACAGAGAAAAUCUCUGUCCCUCUAACCAGAGAAAUAUAUCAGAAUUUCCAGAUGUCUUUCCCCACACAUUCUUCAUCUCUUUAUACUCUUCAUACCCUCUUUGCCAGCUGUCAUUCCCCAUGCACUCAGCCUCCACAUUUCCCUCUAACAAACUAACCAUCUUGCCCUUCAUUUCCAACUGUCUAUUAUUUCUAGAGCCUUCUCCAUCCAUUUUGCUCCCUUCACUUACCUGUCCCUGCUGAGUACCUAUCAAUGUACCGUAUUCUAAUUCCUUUGCUGAAUGCCAUUCUAUAUCAGCAUUCAUGAUUCCACUUGAUAUUCAGAACUUCAAUACUUAGGUAACUUAGCCAAAAGAAACACCAAAUGGACAUCUAAAUCUUGUUUCUGAGUAAAACUUGCAGCUCCCAAUUGUAGGCAAACCCUUGAAAUGCAAUCCAACAUCAGCUACAAAUCAAAAAUGAUCUGGCAUUCCAUAGAAACAAACCAACGUGAAUAGACUGCUUAACUUGAUGAAACUUCCAAUGUACCAAGGAUUCAUCAUUAGAAAAUGUCUAGUGGGGGUUCUAGCCUCUUUGGUUCACUAUAAAAUGUUCGGUCUAACCCAGCAAAAUUCUGCAAUAAAAAGAACCAAGAAAGAGGAUGCUAAGUGAAAUUCUUUUGUGGUCCCCAGACUCUGCUCACAAAAUAGGCAAGCUUUCACAACCUUUGCUUUAAGCCAAGUGCAAUGUUUAGCUUUCAAUUAAUGAACUGGAUAUUUCCUUGUCUUAAUGUCAAUUAACAUUCCCUAUAUAAAUAAACAUAGAUCAAACUUCGAUUCCCUCCAGUCCACUCCCUUCACCAUUAUUUUCUUUCUUUUUCUUUCCCCUUAGAACAGAAUCAGACAGAAGUUUCAUUCAUUUAAACUGGAUAACAUUAUGUAAAAAGUGUCGAAUAUAGCAGUGAAAUAGUAUUAUCCUUUUAUGCUAAUGUAGAACUAAACAGUCAAAGUCAGUUAUGGUGUUCAUAUUGGCAAACACCAGUCAGAACUUCCUCAAUGAGGAAAAACCAACAGCCAUCAUACCAUAGAUUUUAUUUUUUAG
rnacentral:misc_RNA from 1 species